GCAGUCGAGCGCACCCUUCGGGGCGAGCGGCGGACGGGUUAGUAACNCGUGGGAACGUACCCUUCUCUAUGGAAUAGCCAUUGGAAACGAUGAGUAAUACCAUAUACGCCCUUCGGGGGAAAGAUUUAUCGGAGAAGGAUCGGCCCGCGUUAGAUUAGAUAGUUGGUGGGGUAAUGGCCUACCAAGUCUACGAUCUAUAGCUGGUUUUAGAGGAUGAUCAGCAACACUGGGACUGAGACACGGCCCAGACUCCUACGGGAGGCAGCAGUGGGGAAUCUUAGACAAUGGGCGCAAGCCUGAUCUAGCCAUGCCGCGUGUGUGAUGAAGGCCUUAGGGUCGUAAAGCACUUUCGCCAGGGAUGAUAAUGACAGUACCUGGUAAAGAAACCCCGGCUAACUCCGUGCCAGCAC
rnacentral:rRNA from 1 species